AGCGAACGUUAGCGGCAGGCCUAACACAUGCAAGUCGAGCGAGAAAGGGGCUUCGGCCCUGAGUAAAGCGGCGGACGGGUGCGUAACACGUGGAUAAUCUGCCCUUCGGCGGGGGAUAACAGUCCGAAAGGAUUGCUAAUACCGCAUGCGUCGGCGAAGACUCCGGUCUUUGCCGGGAAAGAGGGCGCCCGCAAGGGGCUCUCACCGGAGGAUGAGUCCGCGGCCCAUCAGCUAGUUGGCGGGUAACGGACCACCAAGGCUUAGACGGGUAGCUGGUCUGAGAGGAUGAUCAGCCACACUGGGACUGAGACACGGCCCAGACUCCUACGGGAGGCAGCAGUGGGGAAUAUUGGGCAAUGGGCGCAAGCCUGACCCAGCCAUGCCGCGUGAGUGAUGAA
rnacentral:rRNA from 1 species